rnacentral:rRNA from 1 species
GACGAACGCUGGCGGCGUGCCUAAUACAUGCAAGUUGAGCGAUGAAGAUUGGUGCUUGCACCAAUUUGAAGAGCAGCGAACGGGUGAGUAACGCGUGGGGAAUCUGCCUUUGAGCGGGGGACAACAUUUGGAAACGAAUGCUAGUACCGCAUAACAACUUUAAACAUAAGUUUUAAGUUUGAAAGAUGCAAUUGCAUCACUCAAAGAUGAUCCCGCGUUGUAUUAGCUAGUUGGUGAGGUAAAGGCUCACCAAGGCGAUGAUACAUAGCCGACCUGAGAGGGUGAUCGGCCACAUUGGGACUGAGACACGGCCCAAACUCCUACGGGAGGCAGCAGUAGGGAAUCUUCGGCAAUGGACGAAAGUCUGACCGAGCAACGCCGCGUGAGUGAAGAAGGUUUUCGGAUCGUAAAACUCUGUUGGUAGAGAAGAACGUUGGUGAGAGUGGAAAGCUCAUCAAGUGACGGUAACUACCCAGAAAGGGACGGCUAACUACGUG